rnacentral:rRNA from 1 species
UACGUAGGGGGCAAGCGUUGUCCGGAUUUACUGGGCGUAAAGAGCGUGUAGGCGGCCAUACAGGUCCGUUGUGAAAACUGGAGGCUCAACUUCCAGACGUCGACGGAAACCGUGUGGCUAGAGUCCGGAAGAGGAGAGUGGAAUUCCUGGAGUAGCGGUGAAAUGCGCAGAUAUCAGGAAGAACACCAAUGGCGAAGGCAGCUCUCUGGGACGGUACUGACGCUGAGACGCGAAAGCGUGGGGAGCGAACAGG